rnacentral:rRNA from 1 species
GGGUUGUGAGGUUAAGCGACUAAGCGUACACGGUGGAUGCCCUGGCAGUCAGAGGCGAUGAAGGACGUGCUAAUCUGCGAUAAGCGUCGGUAAGGUGAUAUGAACCGUUAUAACCGGCGAUUUCCGAAUGGGGAAACCCAGUGUGAUUCGUCACACUAUCAUUAACUGAAUCCAUAGGUUAAUGAGGCGAACCGGGGGAACUGAAACAUCUAAGUACCCCGAGGAAAAGAAAUCAACCGAGAUUCCCCCAGUAGCGGCGAGCGAACGGGGAGCAGCCCAGAGCCUGAAUCAGUGUGUGUGUUAGUGGAAGCGUCUGGAAAGGCGCGCGAUACAGGGUGACAGCCCCGUACACAAAAAUGCACAUACUGUGAGCUCGAUGAGUAGGGCGGGACACGUGGUAUCCUGUCUGAAUAUGGGGGGACCAUCCUCCAAGGCUAAAUACUCCUGACUGACCGAUAGUGAACCAGUACCGUGAGGGAAAGGCGAAAAGAACCCCGGCGAGGGGAGUGAAAAAGAACCUGAAACCGUGUACGUACAAGCAGUGGGAGCACAGAGCAAUCUGUGUGACUGCGUACCUUUUGUAUAAUGGGUCAGCGACUUAUAUUCUGUAGCAAGGUUAACCGAAUAGGGGAGCCGAAGGGAAACCGAGUCUUAACUGGGCGUUAAGUUGCAGGGUAUAGACCCGAAACCCGGUGAUCUAGCCAUGGGCAGGUUGAAGGUUGGGUAACACUAACUGGAGGACCGAACCGACUAAUGUUGAAAAAUUAGCGGAUGACUUGUGGCUGGGGGUGAAAGGCCAAUCAAACCGGGAGAUAGCUGGUUCUCCCCGAAAGCUAUUUAGGUAGCGCCUCGUGAAUUCAUCUCCGGGGGUAGAGCACUGUUUCGGCAAGGGGGUCAUCCCGACUUACCAACCCGAUGCAAACUGCGAAUACCGGAGAAUGUUAUCACGGGAGACACACGGCGGGUGCUAACGUCCGUCGUGAAGAGGGAAACAACCCAGACCGCCAGCUAAGGUCCCAAAGUCAUGGUUAAGUGGGAAACGAUGUGGGAAGGCCCAGACAGCCAGGAUGUUGGCUUAGAAGCAGCCAUCAUUUAAAGAAAGCGUAAUAGCUCACUGGUCGAGUCGGCCUGCGCGGAAGAUGUAACGGGGCUAAACCAUGCACCGAAGCUGCGGCAGCGACGCUGAUGCGUUGUUGGGUAGGGGAGCGUUCUGUAAGCCUGUGAAGGUGUGCUGUGAGGCAUGCUGGAGGUAUCAGAAGUGCGAAUGCUGACAUAAGUAACGAUAAAGCGGGUGAAAAGCCCGCUCGCCGGAAGACCAAGGGUUCCUGUCCAACGUUAAUCGGGGCAGGGUGAGUCGACCCCUAAGGCGAGGCCGAAAGGCGUAGUCGAUGGGAAACAGGUUAAUAUUCCUGUACUUGGUGUUACUGCGAAGGGGGGACGGAGAAGGCUAUGUUGGCCGGGCGACGGUUGUCCCGGUUUAAGCGUGUAGGCUGGUUUUCCAGGCAAAUCCGGAAAAUCAAGGCUGAGGCGUGAUGACGAGGCACUACGGUGCUGAAGCAACAAAUGCCCUGCUUCCAGGAAAAGCCUCUAAGCAUCAGGUAACAUCAAAUCGUACCCCAAACCGACACAGGUGGUCAGGUAGAGAAUACCAAGGCGCUUGAGAGAACUCGGGUGAAGGAACUAGGCAAAAUGGUGCCGUAACUUCGGGAGAAGGCACGCUGAUAUGUAGGUGAAGUCCCUCGCGGAUGGAGCUGAAAUCAGUCGAAGAUACCAGCUGGCUGCAACUGUUUAUUAAAAACACAGCACUGUGCAAACACGAAAGUGGACGUAUACGGUGUGACGCCUGCCCGGUGCCGGAAGGUUAAUUGAUGGGGUUAGCGCAAGCGAAGCUCUUGAUCGAAGCCCCGGUAAACGGCGGCCGUAACUAUAACGGUCCUAAGGUAGCGAAAUUCCUUGUCGGGUAAGUUCCGACCUGCACGAAUGGCGUAAUGAUGGCCAGGCUGUCUCCACCCGAGACUCAGUGAAAUUGAACUCGCUGUGAAGAUGCAGUGUACCCGCGGCAAGACGGAAAGACCCCGUGAACCUUUACUAUAGCUUGACACUGAACAUUGAGCCUUGAUGUGUAGGAUAGGUGGGAGGCUUUGAAGUGUGGACGCCAGUCUGCAUGGAGCCGACCUUGAAAUACCACCCUUUAAUGUUUGAUGUUCUAACGUUGACCCGUGAUCCGGGUUGCGGACAGUGUCUGGUGGGUAGUUUGACUGGGGCGGUCUCCUCCUAAAGAGUAACGGAGGAGCACGAAGGUUGGCUAAUCCUGGUCGGACAUCAGGAGGUUAGUGCAAUGGCAUAAGCCAGCUUGACUGCGAGCGUGACGGCGCGAGCAGGUGCGAAAGCAGGUCAUAGUGAUCCGGUGGUUCUGAAUGGAAGGGCCAUCGCUCAACGGAUAAAAGGUACUCCGGGGAUAACAGGCUGAUACCGCCCAAGAGUUCAUAUCGACGGCGGUGUUUGGCACCUCGAUGUCGGCUCAUCACAUCCUGGGGCUGAAGUAGGUCCCAAGGGUAUGGCUGUUCGCCAUUUAAAGUGGUACGCGAGCUGGGUUUAGAACGUCGUGAGACAGUUCGGUCCCUAUCUGCCGUGGGCGCUGGAGAACUGAGGGGGGCUGCUCCUAGUACGAGAGGACCGGAGUGGACGCAUCACUGGUGUUCGGGUUGUCAUGCCAAUGGCACUGCCCGGUAGCUAAAUGCGGAAGAGAUAAGUGCUGAAAGCAUCUAAGCACGAAACUUGCCCCGAGAUGAGUUCUCCCUGACUCCUUGAGAGUCCUGAAGGAACGUUGAAGACGACGACGUUGAUAGGCCGGGUGUGUAAGCGCAGCGAUGCGUUGAGCUAACCGGUACUAAUGAACCGUG